UACGGAGGGGGCUAGCGUUGUUCGGAAUUACUGGGCGUAAAGCGCACGUAGGCGGCUUUGUAAGUUAGAGGUGAAAGCCCAGGGCUUAACCCUGGAAUUGCCUUUAAGACUGCAUCGCUAGAAUCGUGGAGAGGCGAGUGGAAUUCCGAGUGUAGAGGUGAAAUUCGUAGAUAUUCGGAAGAACACCAGUGGCGAAGGCGACUCACUGGACACGUAUUGACGCUGAGGUGCGAAAGCGUGGGGAGCAAACAGG
rnacentral:rRNA from 1 species